AGCAGCCGCGGUAAUUCCAGCUCCAAUAGCGUAUAUUAAAGUUGCUGCAGUUAAAGAGCUCGUAGUUGAAUUUCGGGACUAAUAUGUUGGUCGUGCCUCGGUACGUACUGAUAUUUUUGGUUUCUCCCUUCUGACGAACCUUGAUGUCAUUAAUUUGGUGUCUUGGGAAAUCAGGACUGUUACUUUGAAAAAAUUAGAGUGUUUAAAGCAGGCUCACGCUUGAAUACAUUAGCAUGGAAUAAUGAAAUAGGACGUUUGAUUCUAUUUUGUUGGUUUCUAGGAUUGACGUAAUGAUUAAUAGGGAUAGUUGGGGGCAUUAGUAUUCAAUUGUCAGAGGUGAAAUUCUUGGAUUUAUUGAAGACUAACUACUGCGAAAGCAUUUGCCAAGGAUGUUUUCAUUAAUCAAGAACGAAAGUUAGGGGAUCGAAGACGAUCAGAUACCGUCGUAGUCUUAACCAUAAACCAUGCCGACUAGGGAUCGGAUGAUGUUAAUUUUUUUAAUGACUCAUUCGGCGCCUUA
rnacentral:rRNA from 1 species